rnacentral:rRNA from 1 species
GACGAACGCUGGCGGCGUGCUUAACACAUGCAAGUCGAACGGAAAGGCCCUGCUUUUGUGGGGUGCUCGAGUGGCGAACGGGUGAGUAACACGUGAGUAACCUGCCCUUGACUUUGGGAUAACUUCAGGAAACUGGGGCUAAUACCGGAUAGGAGCUCCUGCUGCAUGGUGGGGGUUGGAAAGUUUCGGCGGUUGGGGAUGGACUCGCGGCUUAUCAGCUUGUUGGUGGGGUAGUGGCUUACCAAGGCUUUGACGGGUAGCCGGCCCGAGAGGGUGACCGGCCACAAUGGGACUGAGAUACGGACCAGACUCCUACGGGAGGCAGCAGUGGGGAAUAUUGCACAGUGGGCGGAAGCCUGAUGCAGCGACGCCGCGUGCGGGAUGACGGCCUUCGGGUUGUAAACCGCUUUCGCCUGUGACGAAGCGUGAGUGACGGUAAUGGGUAAAGAAGCACCGGCUAACUACGUG